AUCUAAAAAUCAUUCACUCCACUAAGGCUCAAAAAAUGGCACAAACCAUUAAAAUGAAACAUGUAAGAAUAAAAAAUGAUACCAUAGUAAUCAUUAAAACCAUGGAGAUCAAAUUUAUAUUGUAAAAGGCACACAUCAAUCAGGAAAUUGGUCAAUUUCAGUAGAUAUCUACAGGUAUACCCUGUUAAUAAGUAUGUAUCAAAGUAUGAUAUUGUGCGAAUUGAGGCUGGCCUAACUUUUUUGCAAUUGAGGCUGGCCUAACUUUUUUGCAAUUGAGGCUGGCCUAACUUUUUUGCAAUUGAGGCUGCCAUUGUGAUACAUACUUUCAGACUGGAAACUUUGUCGCAAAUCCCUCAACAUAUAUAGCCCAUGCACUCAAAUUUUAUAUUGGCAUCUGUACACAUUGCUGCACAAAGAUCCCAUUUUAUAAAAUUUUACAUUUUUACCUCAAAAUUGAACAUGUCCAUGCAAAAAGUUUACAGCCUGGACAUAUUUCAGUGGUGUGAAAUAUAUUAGUGAUAUCAAGUUUAAGAUUAUGGUGAAAAAUGUGGCCAGGUCUUAACUUAAGACUUUCAGAAAGGAGAAAAUAGUUUUCCAACGAUGUUUUGCAAGACCAUCAGGUUGGCACAGAAAGACUUUCUGUGUUACCAGGCCAGCUUUCAUGUCAGCAUUGAUACUUGACACCGUUGAUUAAAAGGGUUGUGUACAGGACUACAUACACCUGUUCAGAAAGUAUGGUACUCGCACAAUUGAUACUUCAAACAUGACACAAACAACGUUUACACCUAAAGUGGUCGUCAAAAAUCUGCUGGCCCCUGAGACUAUUCAGUUAACAAUGCCAACAUAAGCAAGUCUAUAGGCUUGCUACCUUUUGAACUACAGCAUAACAAAAAAAUUAAGGAAAAUUUAUUUGCCCAAAGGGACUAUACAUUUAUGAAAGCAAGAGGGGGCUAGACCAGGAUAAGAUGGCACUCAGAAAACUAAGGAUAUUGUGAUUCUUUGAAUGAUUGGCAUACUGAUAGACCAAAAAGUGUGAAGUUUUGAAUUGCUAGUUCUGCAUAAUUUGGCAAACUGGCCAUCAAAGAGAAUAAAGUAGGCAAAAUGUCAAUCUUACUGCUGUCAUGAAUUUGGUGCAAGUUUUCAAAUUUUGGUAUGCAACCUGCAUCUGCCAUACUCUCCUGUCUGGCCUGAGAGUGUAUCCCAUGCUAAACUAAUGCUGGAAAAACUCUAAAAUAGUCAUUUCCAUCCCCUGCAUCUGAAUGAAAAUGACCUAUCUUUCCAUAUACAGGGAUGACAUGUUAACUAUUAAGGUAUCCUUUAAAAUAUGUCUGUAAAAACACCUCUGAUAUGAAAGUCUUGAAUUAAGCAACGAGGUAAAAACUAUAGUUGUAAAUAAAUAGUAGUAGAACUUACACCCUCGUCUCCUGGCAGAUGGGUAGCCACAUUGGGCGCAAGUUUUCUUCUGAAUAUGAAAUGCUUUUCGGCCACAUCUUACACACAAGGUGUGUGUUUUGUUGUGUCGCUUUCCAAAGCUGGAUGUUCCUUUCGUCUGGAAGAUUGAAAUAAAUCUUAAUUAUUGCGUGGAAAAUUUAGAAAGUCACUACAGAUAAGGUUCAAAUUGUAGUUUUGGAUAGUUCCUAUUUCAUUAAAAUGUAGAUGUUUAUUGAACGGGAGAGUAAGGAACUUGACGUAUUCUGACACACAAAAACAAAUUAAUUGUUUGGUAAAAUUCCAGUUGAAGCGAUUUGAGUCAAUUUACAGUCGUACAAUACUUUUUUAUACUGGAUGAUAAAGGAUUUAGAACGUAAAUCGUGAACUGACUGGGCACCUACCAUCUUGACUGUACAGAGGAACCAAAAGGAUGCUUCGAAGGUGGAAACGAAAACGAGGCUGCCUCAGGAUGGAGAAUGAAGAAAGAUGGCGAGGAACUGUGAAAAACACUUCGUUGGUCUUAAUAGAAUUUUCCUAGAAGAGCAGUGGAAGAAGGACAAAGAAAGAAAAAGGCCAUAUCUGCAAUCUCUCAACACUGGUGCAGAAAUCAAGAAGUGGAUACCAAGUAUAAAAAGAGAACUUAACUACUGCUUACAGCAACUUUCUGGUGCAAGAGGACAUGAUUACACAGAUGCAAAGAUAAAAGAGUUUGAAGAGAGGGUUCAAUAUCUUGAAAGAGAACACAAGAGAUUUAUUCAAAAAUUGCGUCAACUGGAUCCUAGCUCAAGUGGUGUACCAUGGGAAGCAAGACCAUACAAAAGAAAGAAUACACAGGAUUCACACUGCAACAGGAGGCUGGGAAAUUCGAAGGCGAAAAAGAGGACUAUAGAAGUAUGUCAAGAGCUUUUGGACGAAGAGAUCCAGGCUGAUUUUGAAGAUGGCAAGGACUUAUCACCACUGCUUCCUGCCAUUGCCAGUAGCAAUUCAGAACCACAAGAUGAAAAAUAUAUCUAUACUAAAGAAAAGGAUGUGAACUGCCAGAGAACAAGAAAGCUGCAAGUGCAACCAGCCUGAAAGAAACACAUCAAGGUUGCCUUUACUUGGUUGCAUGCUGUGAUAACGGAACGACACCACUCAGUAUCAGCGACAGCAUCAGCAGGAAAGGAGAGAUUAUUUGCGCAAAGGAUCCAGAAAUGUCACUUGGAAGCUCACAGAUUUGUUUUCAAAUGACUUUAUAAAGAUGUCACUUGGAUGCUGACAGACGUGAUUCACAAUGACUUCAGAAAGAUGUCACUUGGAUGCUGACAGACUUGAUUCACAAUGACUUCAGAAAGAUGUCACUUGGAUGCUGACAGACUUGAUUCACAAUGACUUCAGAAAGGUAUUUGACUUUCCUUUAUUUAUUUCCAUCCAUAUUCUUUAUUUACAAAAUUUUCAGAUUUUUUGAAGAUUUUUUACAGGUCCGGGGUCACAAAUUUUUUCAAAAAAUGACUAAGUUCUUUUUCUCCCAAUAUGGCCUAGAAAUUCAUCCAAAAUACUCCGAAUGGUGUUUCUAGCGUAUUGCCAGGCAUUUCUAGUUGUUUCGAGAGAAAAAAAAUUUAUGUAAAAUUUUCAGAUUUUUCAAGAUUUUUUACAGGUCCGGGGUCACAGAUUUUUUCAAAAAUGACUAAGUUCUUUUUCUCCCAAUAUGGCCUAGAAAUUAAUCCAAAACACUCCGAAUGGUGUUUCUGGCGUAUUUCCAGGCAUUUCUAGUUGUUUCGAGAGAAAAAAAAUUUAUGUAAAAUUUUCAGAUCUUUGAAGAUUUUUUACAGGUCCGGGGUCACAGAUUUUUUCAAAAAUGACUUAGUUCUUGUUUUCCUCAUAUUGCCUAGAAAUUCAUCGAAAACACUCCGAAUGGUGUUUCUAUUGUAUUUUCAGGCCUUUCUAGUUGUUUCGAGACAAAAAAAAUUUAUGUCAAUUUUUCAGAUUUUUGAAGAUUUUUUACAGGUCCGGGGUCACAGAUUUUUUCAAAAAUGACUAAAUUCUUGUUUUCCUCAUACGGCCUAGAAAUUAAUCCAAAACACUCCGAAUGGUGUUGCUAGCGUAUUUUUAAUCAUUUCUGGUUGUUUCGAGAGAAAAAGAAUUUUUGGAAAAUUUUCAGAUUUUUGAAGAUUUUUUACAGGUCCGGGGUCACAGACUUUUCAAAAAAUGACUAAGUUCUUUUUCUCCCCAUAUGGCCUAGAAAUUCAUCCAAAACACUCCGAAUGGUGUUUCUGGCGUAUUUCCAGGCAUUUCUAGUUGUUUCGAGAGAAAAAAAAUUUAUGUAAAAUUUUCAGAUUUUUGAAGGUUUUUUAGAGGUCCGGGGUCACAGAUUUUUUCAAAAAUGACUAAGUUCUUGUUUUCCUCAUAUGAUCUAGAAAUUCAUCGAAAACACUCCAAAUGGUGUUGCUAGCGUAUUUUCAAACAUUUUAGGUUGUUUCGAGAGAAAAAAAGUUUUUGCAAAAUUUUCAGAUUUUGAAGACUUUUUACUGGUCUGGGGUCACAAAAUUUUUCAAAAAAUGACUAAGUUCUUUUUCUCCUAAUAUGGCCUAGAAAUUCAUCCAAAACACUCCGAAUGGUGCUUCUAGCGUAUUUUCAGGCAUUUCUAGUUGUUUCGAGAGAAAAAAAAUUUAUGUCAAUUUUUCAGAUUUUUGAAGAUUUUUUACAGGUCCGGGGUCACAGAUUUUUUCAAAAAUGACUAAAUUCUUGUUUUCCUCAUACGGCCUAGAAAUUAAUCCAAAACUCUCCGAGUGGUGUUGCUAGCGUAUUUUUAAUCAUUUCUGGUUGUUUCGAGAGAAAAAGAAUUUUUGGAAAAUUUUCAGAUUUUUGAAGAUUUUUUACAGGUCCGGGGUCACAGAUUUUUUCAAAAAAUGACUAAGUUCUUUUUCUCCCCAUAUGGCCUAGAAAUUCAUCCAAAACACUCCGAAUGGUGUUUCUGGCGUAUUUCCAGGCAUUUCUAGUUGUUUCGAGAGAAAAAUAUUUAUGUAAAAUUUUCAGAUUUUUGAAGAUUUUUUACAGGUCCGGGGUCACAGAUUUUUUCAAAAAAUCCCGAAGUUCUUUUUUUCCUUAUACGGCCUAGAAAUUAAUCCAAAACUCUCCGAAUGGUUUUGCUAGCGUAUUUUUAAGCAUUUCUAGUUGUUUCGAGAGAAAAAGAAUUUUUGGAAAAUUUUCAGAUAUUUGAAGAUUUUUUACAGGUCCGGGGUCACAGAUUUUUUCAAAAAUGACUAAGUUCUUGUUUUCCUCAAAUGGCCUAGAAAUUCAUCGAAAACACUCCAAAUGGUGUUGCUAGCGUAUUAUCAACCAUUUUUGGUUGUUUUGAGAGAAAAAAAGUUUUUGCAAAAUUUUCAGAUUUUGAAGAUUUUUUACAGGUCCGGGGUCACAGAUUUUUUCAAAAAAUGUCUAAGUUCUUUUUCUCCCAAUAUGGCCUAGAAAUUCAUCCAAAACACUCCGAAUGGUGUUGCUAGCGUAUUUUCAAGCAUUUCUGGUUGUUUCGAGAGAAAAAGAAUUUUUGGAAAAUUUUCAGAUUUUUGAAGAUUUUUUACAGGUCCGGGGUCACAGAUUUUUUCAAAAAAUGACUAAGUUCUUUUUCUCCCAAUAUGGCCUACAAAUUCAUCCAAAACACUCCGAAUGGUGUUUCUAGCGUAUUUCCAGGCAUUUCUAGUUGUUUCGAGAGAAAAAAAAUUUAUGUAAAAUUUUCAGAUUUUUGAAGAUUUUUUACAGGUCCGGGGUCACAGAUUUUUUUAAAAAAUGACUAAGUUCUUUUUCUCCCAAUAUGGCCUAGAAAUUCAUCCAAAACACUCCGAAUGGUGUUUCUAGCGUAUUGCCAGGCAUUUCUAGUUGUUUCGAGAGAAAAAAAAUUUAUGUAAAAUUUUCAGAUUUUUCAAGAUUUUUUACAGGUCCGGGGUCACAGAUUUUUUCAAAAAAUGACUAAGUUCUUUUUCUCCCAAUAUUGCCUGGAAAUUCAUCCAAAACACUCCGAAUGGUGUUUCUAGCGUAUUUCCAGGCAUUUCUAGUUGUUUCGAGAGAAGAAAAAUU